UAUCCAUCUCUCCCUCUCGUUUCUCUCUUUGCCCGAUUCUCUCUAUCGUGACCUCUUUCCCAGCCGCGGAUGAUGAGCAUCAGCAGACGACAGCGGAGCUCCGGCGGCGCAGCAGGGAGGCGUGGCAGUGGCAGUGGGCGGCGGCAAGCUUCCUCCGGUGUAGCAGCUCUCGGCCUCUCCUCUCUCUUUUGAUCGACGGCGAAGACGAGAAACAGCAGAGCAGCAGCGGACCUGGGUUUUUCGUCUUUUCCUCCGGCGUGGACAGCAACUCUUCUGUUUACGGCGGGCAGCAAGUGAGUCGGCGGUGACGGGCAUACGUCUCCGGCGAAGGUCGUGUGGCGGCUGGGGAUUUAUGCAGCUUAAUUUUGGAUUAGAGGAGGAUUAUGGAGGUUUCCCGUUGAAGUGACUAACUUAAAAGUUGAGUCUUAGAUUGGAUGCUUGCUUUUGGAGUUUAGCUUUGAGGACUUGGACUUGUGGCUAGUGAGAGCGUGGCGUAGAACUUGUACCCGAGCUUUGGUUAUGGUAUAACCUGUAUAGUUAGAAUUGAAUUGAUGUUGUAGUUAGAUGUGGUUUAGAAUGAAGGAUUGGUUGUAAUUAAAUUUGUAGAUAGAAAUCCUUGUAGCCUGUGCGUUUGGGUUUAGAUUCUAGCCCAAGCGUGGCAUAGCACCCCAUAGUUUAAGUUUUAGUUUCGCUUUCGCAUUUAUUUUCCGAAUGGUUAGCAAGAAUUAUUGUUUAUUUAUGUUUAACUCUGUAUUAGAAA